rnacentral:rRNA from 1 species
GACGAACGCUGGCGGCGUGCUUAACACAUGCAAGUCGAGCGAGAGAACCUCCUUCGGGAGGGACUCUAGCGGCGGACGGGUGAGUAACACGUGGGCAACCUGCCUUAUAGAGAGGAAUAGCCAUCCGAAAGGAUGAUUAAUACCUCAUAAUAUUGUAGCUUCGCAUGGAGCAACAAUCAAAGGAGCAAUCCACUAUAAGAUGGGCCCGCGGCGCAUUAGCUAGUUGGUGAGGUAACGGCUCACCAAGGCGACGAUGCGUAGCCGACCUGCGAAGGUGAUCGGCCACAUUGGGACUGAGACACGGCCCAGACUCCUACGGGAGGCAGCAGUGGGGAAUAUUGCACAAUGGGGGAAACCCUGAUGCAGCAACGCCGCGUGAGUGAUGACGGCCUUCGGGUUGUAAAGCUCUGUCUUCAGGGACGAUAAUGACGGUACCUGAGGAGGAAGCCACGGCUAACUACGUGCCAGCCGCCGCGGUAAAAC